UCGAUGUGUCUCCUGCAUAGGGUUUCUUGUGGCAUUUUGUAGAAUAAUAAACGUGUCAGAUUAUCAGGCUCAUCGAUUUUUAUUUUCCGUAGUCCAUUAAGAAUUCUUUAUUUUCUCUCUUUCGAAACAAAACUAUUAUGCGCAGAGUCUUCACGCUGAGCAAAACAGGGGAAAUCAUUUUUCCAGGCGAUUUCUAAGACAAUAGAAGAGAGUGACAGAAAUCCGGCACACCCGACAUUAACUGUGUCAUUCUUACCAGCACACCCGCCAGAUGGUUGUGGAUGAAGAAAAAUUGCAUCAUGCAACCUUCUCAAUCAUAUGAGUUUUAUCUAAGCAAUCGACGGGCUUUUUAAUCUUAAAAUGAAUCUCUGUUUUUGCUAGCCUUUCAUAAUUGCAACGAGCAAGAGCAGUUUUAUGUUUUAUGGAACCUACAGAAGCUUUUAUCAGUUUUAAUAUUUUUCUUUCUCCAUUCACAAACAGUGCAUGGAUCUCUACUUUGAAACAAGUUUCUCCUAAAGAAAAAUAAGGGCAUUUUUUUUCAUCUUUCACACUUGCCUUAACCUGUAUAACCAAUAAUGGGCAAAUUAUAUGGAACUCAGCCCUUCUUUCUUGUUGUUAUGGUGUCAACUAAGCAAUUGGCUUGGUUGUAGUGGGAUUGCUACAUUAUUUGGUAAAAAAAUAAUUAGAAUGGUUUUUGAAAUCUCAAUACGAAUUUAAUUGAAUUCAAAAUU